CAGUCGCCGCGGUAAUACAGAGGGUGCGAGCGUUAAUCGGAUUUACUGGGCGUAAAGCGUGUGUAGGUUGUUGUUCAAGUCAGUUGUGAAAUCCCUGGGCUCAACCUGGGAACUGCUUCUGAGACUGAACGACUAGAGUACGGUAGAGGGUGGUGGAAUUUCCGGUGUAGCGGUGAAAUGCGUAGAUAUCGGAAGGAACAUCAAUGGCGAAGGCAGCCACCUGGGCCUGUACUGACACUGAGACACGAAAGCGUGGGGAUCAAACAGGAUUAGAUACCCGUGUAGUCCCUGUCUCUUAUAA
rnacentral:rRNA from 1 species